rnacentral:rRNA from 1 species
AUUGAACGCUGGCGGCAGGCCUAACACAUGCAAGUCGAACGAGUGGCGGACGGGUGAGUAACGUCUGGGAACCUGCCUGAUGGAGGGGGAUAACUACUGGAAACGGUAGCUAAUACCGCAUACCAUCAGAUGUGCGCAGAUGGGAUUAGCUAGUUGGUGGGGUAACGGCUCACCAAGGCGACGAGCCCUAGCUGGUCUGAGAGGAUGACCAGCCACACUGGAACUGAGACACGGUCCAGACUCCUACGGGAGGCAGCAGUGGGGAAUAUUGCGCAAUGGGCGCAAGCCUGAUGCAGCCAUGCCGCGUGUAUGAAGAAGGCCUUCGGGUUGUAAAGUACUUUCAGCGGGGAAGCGUUACCCGCAGAGGAAGCACCGGCUAACUCCGUGCCAGCAGCCGCGGUAAUAC